AGCCCCCGAGCUGCAGCCGUCUCCCUCGGGCUGCUGCCGGUGCUGCGGGCGGAGGCGGCUCCGCCGCGUGUUGGGCGCUGCGAGCAGGGAGCGCUGCGGUAUCGCCGGCAUGGCGGGGCUGCUGCCUGCGUUAGUGCCCGUGGCUCUUUGUGCCGUGACAGCGGAUGGAGCGGCGCUGGGCGGUAAAGCCAGAGAUGGCCGGGAGAAUGCCCAGCGCAGGGAGCGGGCGGGCUGUGUGCUUCGGAUGGCACAGGGUACUCACAAAAUAUGUCUCCCUUAGUGUCCCACAGAAACAUUCUGGGUGCAAUCUGAAUUAAGGUAUGUGUUUUCAAAUAAGUAAUCAGUUUAGAUAUUUGCCUGUGUACCUUUUCCUGUAAUUCAGAGCUUGUGUUCUGUGGGUUUUAUGAUAAACCUGUAAAACAUGUAAGAAUGGUUUUGCAAGUCUGAAUCGUUGAAGGCAGCAAUAAGUGGAUUUAAAGCCUGUUCUUGAGCAGACAAAGGGGAAAAGUGUGACUCUGAUGCUGAACUUGUCAUUUUUCAUUUGACUUGCCUUUAAUUAUUGAAGAAGAGAGAGAACUAGGAAAAGAAAUAGAAUUGAUUAUUGAGCACUCCUAAAAAGCUCACCAUGAUUCUGUGUAGAGCCAAAGUGAAGGAUGAUGGAACAGAGCUCUGUGCAUUAGAAGGAAAUAAACCUGAUGUCCACACAGAGUCUUACUAAUUUCUGUUUUUAAAAUGCAAAAUAAGUUUAGGAAGUGUUGGAAGUUAGUAUUUUGGGAAAGAAAUGGCAGUUCCACAAAACAUUCCAUUCCAUUUAAGAGAGGCCCUUGGACUGAUUCAUGUUGUAACUGCUGUCACUGCAAUCAGUUGGUGGUUCAGCCUUGAAACGUGCACUUGGCCUUCUAUAAAGCACUGUUUUGUUUGCCUUUCAGUGCUAUGAGUCUUGAUAAAUUGGAGAAGUGCCCAAGAGAAAUUCAUCAUCCUGAGAUACAAAAGGUAGGAAGUGACUUUUUCUGGUUUGGUUCUUUUUCUUUAUUGUUUUCUGGAAAUAGAAGUAAUUAAGUAUAGAUACUACUGGUUUGUUUCUUCCAGUAGCUGAUAAUACUAAUACCAAUAAUAAUAAUAAUAAUAAUAGUAAAGUAAUACUACUUCAACUGUCUUUAUUUAUCCAUUGAACUGGCCAUUUAAAAUCUAAACUUCUAAACACAAAUCAAACCAUCAUCCUUGUAGAAUCUUUAAUAGGAGUGGGCUAAAGAUCCUGGUUUUGUUGACAGGAUUUAUUGGUUCAUGAAGAGCAAGAGGUAAGUACAAGCCUAACUACCCUCUAGCUCACAGACCUGCCCGGUGAAUAGAGCUUUGUUUUUUUGAUGGGCUUGUGAUGACUUUGAGAUCAAUUGCUCAUUCAUUACAGUAAAAAAAAAAAAAUUGUUUUGAACAUGACAGCAAAAAUAA